UCCAAAUCGUACUCCCCUUUGGAUCCU
rnacentral:piRNA from 1 species